AUUGAACGCUGGCGGCAGGCUUAACACAUGCAAGUCGAGCGGAGAUGAGGUGCUUGCACCUUAUCUUAGCGGCGGACGGGUGAGUAAUGCUUAGGAAUCUGCCUAUUAGUGGGGGACAACAUUCCGAAAGGAAUGCUAAUACCGCAUACGUCCUACGGGAGAAAGCAGGGGAUCUUCGGAACUUGCGCUAAUAGAUGAGCCUAAGUCGGAUUAGCUAGUUGGUGGGGUAAAGGCCUACCAAGGCGACGAUCUGUAGCGGGUCUGAGAGGAUGAUCCGCCACACUGGGACUGAGACACGGCCCAGACUCCUACGGGAGGCAGCGGUGGGGAAUAUUGGACAAUGGGGGGAACCCUGAUCCAGCCAUGCCGCGUGUGUGAAGAAGGCCUUAUGGUUGUAAAGCACUUUAAGCGAGGAGGAGGCUACUGAGACUAAUACUCUUGGAUAGUGGACGUUACUCGCAGAAUAAGCACCGGCUAACUCUGUGCCAGCAGCCGCGGUAA
rnacentral:rRNA from 1 species